rnacentral:rRNA from 1 species
UACGAAGGGGGCUAGCGUUGCUCGGAAUCAUUGGGCGUAAAGAGCGUGUAGGCGGUUCGGUAAGUCGGCUGUGAAAGUCCAGGGCUCAACCCUGGGAUGCCGGUCGAUACUGCCGGACUAGAGUUCGGAAGAGGCGAGUGGAAUUCCCGGUGUAGCGGUGAAAUGCGCAGAUAUCGGGAGGAACACCUAUGGCGAAGGCAGCUCGCUGGGACGUUACUGACGCUGGAGACGCGAAAGCGUGGGGAGCGAACAGG